rnacentral:rRNA from 1 species
GACUACCACGUUGAUAGGCAGCAGGUGUAAAGACGGUGACGUCAAAGCCGAGCUGUACUAAUUGCCCGAACGCUUUCG